UACAGAGGGUGCAAGCGUUAAUCGGAAUCACUGGGCGUAAAGGGCGCGUAGGUGGCCCGUUAAGUUUCAUGUGAAAGUCCUGGGCUCAACCUGGGGAUGGCAUGGGAAACUGAUGGGCUAGAGUCAAAGAGAGGGGAGUGGAAUUUCCGGUGUAGCGGUGAAAUGCGUAGAUAUCGGAAGGAACACCAGUGGCGAAGGCGGCUCCCUGGCUUUAGACUGACACUGAGGCGCGAAAGCGUGGGUAGCGAACAGG
rnacentral:rRNA from 1 species